CCUCAAAAGCAUCAUUAAAUAAUUUUCCGACUUCUAACAAAUUUCAACCCUGGACAGCAUUAAUUUAAAAAAUUCAUACAUUUGUGCAAAAUAUACUUUGAUGAUUCACUUGUAUGUAUCAUACAUAAAUGCAUUUAUAUAACAUUUUAAGAUAAAGUCUUAAACUGUACAGAUUAUGACAAAUCACAUUUGUUUUUUAAGAUGGAAAAGAGAGAAGACAAACUUCACCGAAAGAUUUUGGAGGAAAAGGCCAAAUUCGUUGUGGCUAUAGAUGAGUACAACAGGGCAGCACCUGAAAAACUGCAGUCAGCUGAUACAAUUCUGGCAUCUGGGAGUUAUGCAUGGCCAUGGGUAUGGAAUGAGCAUGGACGGUGGUCACCAAUCCUGGUCAUGGGGGGUCUCUGCAGAUUUUAAAUGAAACCUCUGCUAAUUAGUCAUGACUGCUGCUUCCUACUGUUACAGACCAGGACUGUGGGCUCUCUGACAGUGGAGUUAUAGGACUUCAAUUCAAUUCAAUUCAAUUCAAUUCAAUUUUAUUUAUAUAGCGCUUUUCACAAGUGUUAAUUGUUGCAAAGCAGCUUUACAUGAGAAGAUGUAGAGGAGAACACAGAAAAUCAAUAGAUAAUAUAAGAAGUAGAGAUAGCCGUACAAGUGAGCAUAUUAAUAAUGUAACGUAUACAGUAAAGUGCUAAGUUAAGCCAAAGUUGGCUGACUCUCCCUGGGACGAAAAAAACCCCUAGGAA